CUGGCUCAGGACGAACGCUGGCGGCGUGCCUAAUACAUGCAAGUCGAACGAAGCUUUCUUUCACCGAAUGCUUGCAUUCACCGAAAGAAGCUUAGUGGCGAACGGGUGAGUAACACGUAGGCAACCUGCCCAAAAGAGGGGGAUAACACUUGGAAACAGGUGCUAAUACCGCAUAACCAUGAACACC
rnacentral:rRNA from 1 species